CUUAAUUCCCCCUCUGCUUCUUGUUACAGGUAAUCCAAGAAGCUGCUCUUUCAUUUUCCCCAAAUCAGCCUUCAGUUUGGCGUCCUUGAUUUGAUCACUCUACUCUGCUUCUUAAAAAACCGAAUGAAGUGCUUACUGUCAUUAUCCGUAUUUGAUGAAGAGGAUACUGAGCCUCUCAGAGAAUUCAUAAUGUGUCCAUGGUCAUCUAAUUCCAAGUAAUCAACAACGAAUGCAUUGAAUACACACACGUCAGCCUGGACCGGUGGUUUUUUGUUGUUGUUUUUUUAAGAGAAAACCGACAGAGACAGAGAAGUAACAGAGAGAAAAUUCUGCAAAAGCCUUCACAGAGCAACAUCCCAGAAUUACUGCUAAAAUCAAGGGAAUCAUUGAAGUACUUCAAUCACAUUUUGGAUGAGAUAUUUUGGAGAACAAAUUUCUUCCAACUUCUUGAUGGGAUGGAUUUUCAUGCUCUUGCAGUAGUAGAAACCUCACCAGAGGUACUGCUGUUGUCAGUAGUUUCUACCUCAGUCAAUUUUGUUUGGAUUCAGUGUAACACUGAGAAAGGUUUGCGUUUGGAGGAUUUUAG
rnacentral:lncRNA from 1 species